rnacentral:misc_RNA from 1 species
GAAAUGCGAUAAGUAAUGUGAAUUGCAUGCACCGUGAAUCAUCAAAUCUUUGAACGCACAUUGCACUGCCUGGAAUUCCGGGCAGUAUACCUGUUUGAGUAUCAGUAACACUCUACGUACCAGCAUUCUCUUAUUGGGAAUGCCCACGUAGGACUUGAGCUACCGUCUUCACCGGCGCUGCUUUAAAUCCAUUUGAGGUCUACGCUUAUAAAGGCAUUGCGACUGACAGAGUUAAUGGGUCUUCGGGCCUUGAUUUGUCUAGCUUGCGGUGUUCUAAAUUUGCUAGUCUUCAUUAAACCACCCAACAGUGGAGGACCUUGGUUCUCGCGACUGUGACUUUGAUCUCAAAUCAGGUAAGAUUACCCGCUGAACUUAA